CUGGCUGCCAUCAGCAGCAGUCUCCUCGAGGUAGCAUGGCCUGUGGUAGCUCUGCCUCAUUUCUAACUCUGCCGACAUUUAAAGAUUUUAGUUUCCAGGAGAAAAUUGUUUCUGGGUGAAUGAAGAGAAUGAUUUUCUCCCCCUUCCUUCUCAAUUUCCGGGUUAAGCUGCUGAAACUCUGAAGGCUUAAGAACCUCAUCUACGCUUCUCAGGGACCCAGAGUGAAGGAAGUUGUUUGGAAGCCUGGCCCAUCACUUGCCUGUUCCCUGAAAGGAACAUCACCAUUGAUUCUAGAUCACGGAUGACUCAUGCCUGUGUUUGGAAUACUCUCCAGGUCUGCAGAGUCCUACACUAGCUCUUGAACUUGCAGGCUGCUUUCAAAGCGUCGUUGACUUGCCAACUGUAAAUGCUGUCUAAAUAUUUAUUUU